rnacentral:tRNA from 1 species
GGGCGAGUGGCGAAAUUGGUAUACGCGCCAGAUUUAGGUUCUGGUACUGCGAGGUGUGUGGGUUCGAGUCCCACCUUGCCCACCA